UACGUAGGUGGCGAGCGUUGUCCGGAUUUAUGGGGUUUAAAGGGUGCGUAGGCGGUCCUAUAAGUCAGUGGUGAAAUAUCGCAGCUCAACUGUGAGGGUGCCAUUGAUACUGUAGGACUUGAGUGAAUUUGAGGUAGGCGGAAUUGACGGUGUAGCGGUGAAAUGCUUAGAUAUCGUCAAGAACACCGAUAGUGAAGACAGCUUACCAAGCUUCAACUGACGCUGAGGCACGAAAGUGUGGGGAUCAAACAGG
rnacentral:rRNA from 1 species